UCCAAGCGUCUCUCUCAGGGGGUCGUAACGUUGUCGUUUCGUGUAUUAAACAAAUUUUAUUAAAUAUAACUUUAAGGGCUUUUAUUUCUAUUCAACAUCGUUAAUCUGCCGACAAAUGUCAGUGUUUUCAACUUCUAUUGAUCUACAUCAUCGUGUUUUGAGUGAUGUGGUGACCAUGGCCUUGCAAAUGUCGCCUGUUGAUGCUCAUACUGAAAAUUAUACUACAUGUUAUAAUCAGCCUGCAGUGCUGCUGCCUGAAGCUGCUGCUGGGACGAGUAGUCAUCAAGUUGAGCCCUUUCAGUGCCAACUUUUGGAGUGCUUCUCUGCUGAACAAGUGCCUCAUCGUACUGAACAGAAACCUGUGCCACCAAGUUUAAGGGAAUUCGAACAAAGGGUGACUGCUGUACGUAAGGAAGGUGCUGUAGAAGUAAUGGAUGCCCCACUGCUCGCAGAGAGUACUGAAGUGAGGUGUGGUCCAGAGGUUGAGGAUUUGAGAGGAGGAGCUGCUUCUGAAAUUCUCACCCUGCUGGAAGUUUCCCAAUCAUCUGUGAUAGACAGCUCCAAAGUCGGUUCAUCCUCGGAAGAAUCGACGCACCCUGGCACGCACGAAUCCCUUAGCAACCCACCAUCUCCCUGUCUGGUCGAUAACGUCGAGAUAGGAUCAGCGUCCGCCAUUUCUUCCUCCAGCAAUAUUCUUAACGAUGCACAAAAGGAUUCGAGCGACGCAAUGAGGCAAAGCGGAUUGGCUUGGCGACCGCAGAGCUCUAAUCAAUUGUCGAUGACAUUCUCAGGAGAGACGAAUCCUCCAAGUGCAACUUAUGCAGAUUUGUGCCCUCUAUCGACCUCUGCUCACUCCACCCUUGGCGCUUCUGCCUCUGCCGUCUCUGAUGAAGACUAUUGUGAUAGCAAGGAACCACUGAUCAUUAAGGGAAGCAGUAGCAGUAGUAGCACAUCGGCGUUCCUCCAAUAUCCCCCGAUCGGACCGGCGUCCAACCGGCAUUGGGGCAUUCCUCAAGGAGCGGGUUUGCGUGGAGGUGCAGGCGAGACCUCCUUGAAUAACGGAGGAGGCAGCUGGGGUCAUCCGCCAGCAAGUGGAGGUUGGGGAGGCGGUGGAACCAACAACGCGGCGAACCAAGUCCAAGGCCAAUGGGGAGCAGCAUCCUCCGCGGCCAACCAACGGAGCUCCGCAGCUAGUCAGGGACCAUCUGGAGCACCGCCUCCUGGAUCCUCGGGACCGCAAGGCUCGAAUCAGCAGCUACCUACCGGUGCCCAACAACAGCAGCAACCUCAAGGAGCAUGGGAUACAAGCAAAAAUGUCGUCAGCGGUAAUGUCGUCCAGCCAUCUGGAAGCUCGCCAAGCCAGGGUGUAUGGGCUGCUCAGGCUGCCAAAAACGUACCUAAUCAACCGACCAAUAUCAACCCCAAUCAAGACAUCAUGGCUACCAACCCCUUGAACUUAGCUCAAGGUGGCAAUGGGGGUGGUGGAGCCGUUGGUGGUUCUGGUCCUGCCACUCCUAGUUCUGGUAAGCCGGAUCCUUUGGCUAACUAUCGAGAUGUGAUUUAUGCCCAAGAUGGCUGGGGAGGCAAUCAAGUGAAUCAAGAUUCGCAGUGGGAUGUUCCAACAUCGCCAGAGCCCAAAGAAAUUCCACUGUGGAAGCAGACAGCAAGUAAUGGAACAGAAGUCUGGGAAGUCAAUCUGCGCAAUGGCGGCCAAGCCCCUCCGCCUAUAACCCAGACAAAGACGCCAUGGGGUAGUCAUACUCCAGCAACCAAUCUCGGAGGUACAUGGGGUGAAGACGAUGAAUCUUCAGAACCAUCCAGCAUGUGGACGGGUGUUCCUGCCAAUAAUGGACCUACUAACUGGGGAGCCAAUCCAAUGGGGGCUGCUCUGACUGCUGGACCAAUGGGGCCAGCCUCUGUCCCAACCGGUGCUGCGACCAUGGGGACCACUGGAAUCACGUCAGGCAACGGCAUGUGGGGUGGACAACAGCAACAGCAGCAGCAGCAACCGAAGAAAGAACCGGAAUGGGCUGGGCCCAGCUCAAUGCAAACUGGACCUGGAGGAUGGGGUGAAGUGCGACCACCCCAGCGCAUGGCUAUGUCCGGUAUUGGACCCUCGGUUCCCGAGAACAUGGGUAUGGCACCGACUGCACCAUCGCACUGGCCUGGGCCGCAAAACAAACCCGCGCCGCAGUGGGGUGGAAAUGUACCCUCGAAAGAAAUGAAACCAUCGGGCUGGGAUGAGCAUUCCCCUCCUGCCCAGAAACGACAAGUGCCACAAUAUGACGAUGGAACGGCCGUUUGGGGGAAUCCUUCCCAAAUUCAACAGCCAGGUGGAAAUGUCGUAUGUCGCUGGAAAGAUAUGCCCAAUCCUAACGUGGCUGGCGGACGUGGAAUGCAACAAUCUGGCCCGCCUCCCAAUCGAAUGCCACCUGGGCCGGGAAUGAAAACAGACAUGUCGUGGGGACAAACUCGGAACGGCUCUUGGGGAGAUGGUGGAGUCGGCGAUAGCAACCAGAUGAAUAACAUGUGGAUGGAUGACAAACCUGUAGGUAGUGGUGGAGGUGGUGGCUCGUGGAACGAGCCUCCCCAAACACCCACGCCAUGGGCGUCUGGUCCUAAACCCAAAACACCCACGACUCCAAGUUGGGGUGAGACUGAAGACAAUUUGUCGUGGGGCCAGCCGCAUAAGCAGAUUCCUAAGCCUUUAGCCAAAGAAAUGAUUUGGAGUAGUAAACAGUUCCGCAUCCUAUCCGAAAUGGGUUUCAAGAAGGACGACGUGGAAAAUGUCCUUCGAAAUUGCAACAUGGUUAUGGAAGAUGCAUUGGAAACGUUGCGCUCUGGUCGAGGCAUGUUUGGUGAUGACCAUGGAUCAGGUGGUUACGACCCAAUGGGACCGCACGGAGGGGCGCCUUAUCCUCCGAGCGCGCGGUUCAAUCCAGGUCAACAGAUGCCUUUUGUUCACCCUGGUAGUAGCGGUGCACCGCAUCACUUAUUAAGCAAUCCUGCCCCUAGCAUGGGGAUGAAUCCGAAUCCUGCAUACAAAAUUCUUCAGCCUCAGCAGCCGCCACCUAUGCCGCCUCAGGUCAAUCAAUCACAAAUGGUCCGUAACAUGUCGCGAGUAGACACUGGUGUAUCGUCUGGUGCAGGAGCCGGCAGUCAACCAUCACCAACUCAAUUACGAAUUCUCGUUCAGCAAAUCCAAAUGGCCGUGCAGGCAGGCCAUUUGAAUCCUCAAAUUCUCAAUCAGCCGUUGGCUCCUCAGACGCUGGUUCUGCUCAAUCAGCUGCUACAGCAGAUCAAAGUUUUACAACAGCUCGGUCAACAGCACAAUAUGGCCCUUAGUCGGCCGGGACAAGGACCUAUGGGGGGUCCAAUGUUGCAGCUAGUACCUCAGAUGAACAAAACCAAACAGCAGAUUGCUAGCUUGCAACAGCAGAUCGCCGCCCAACAAGCUCUGUAUGUCAAGCAACAAGGCCAAAUGAUGAAUCAACAGCCACCCGGCGUUCCUCCGAGUCAACCGUCGGACCUUUUCAAAGUGGAUUCGGUUCAUGGCAUUCAGUCCAACUUGGACAGGAUGAGUUUACAGGAUUCUGGACAGUCACGGCUCUCUCAAUGGAAGUACCCGCCACUCGACAAGGAUCUUUCAGAUCUCGGCAUGUCAGAAUUCAGUCGCGCCCCGGGGAGCAGUGGUGGUGCACCCGGUUCCAUUCCCAGUAACGCCAAACCGCCACUAGGUAGCAGCCUUUCGUCACCCAAUAUGAACCCUGUCCUCGGACAAGACGGUGGUGCUUGGUCGAGUCUUUCUCGUUCUCAAUCGGAGACAGGCUGGCCUGACACAAACCAGGAUUUGUCUACUGGUGGAUCUGUCGGAGGCAAUGACGGAAAGGAUAGCUGGAGCAAUGCCACCGGAUCCUCUUCUUAUUCGGGUUCCAUAUCGGAUCUCGUUCCCGAAUUCGAGCCUGGCAAACCAUGGAAAGGACCACAGAUUAAAACGGCAGACGACGAUCCAACUCUCACUCCUGGAACGUUUGCCAUGUCUGGUCUCAACGAGGCAGAUGUUUACUCAAACAACGCAUCAAAAGGAGGCCAGAGUUCAACCAAAGCUUCGCCUCCUCCCGUUGGCUCUGGCGGAUCGAGUGGCUCAGGUGAAUCGGGCUUCCCGACGCUGGGUCUUUCUAAUUCCACUUGGUCUUUCAAUCCGUCUUCGGCGUCGUCGAGUUCCGUCCCCUCUUCAUCGACCCCUUACAGCUCUGCCAAGAUUGCACCGAAAUCUUCUUGGUCCGACGCCCCACCACCGGCUGCGGAUCCGUGGAGCGCACCAAACAAGCCUCGUGGCCCUCCUCCGGGCAUUAGUGCAUCAGCAGGCAUUGGUCCAAAGUCUGCCGGACGCGAUUGGAGUGCAGCUGGCAGCCGCUCACCCUGGCCUGGAACGAAUGCCACUGUAGCUGGAGGUACGUGGGCCGGUUCUUUGAAUGGCGCAUCGUCGUGGCUCGUGUUGCGUAACUUGACUCCGCAAAUCGAUGGUUCGACGCUCAAAACAUUGUGCGUCCAGCACGGUCCGCUUCACAACUUCCAUCUCUACCUCAACCACGGAGUAGCUUUGAUCCGCUAUUCCACUGGCGAAGAAGCCGCUAAGGCGCAAAGUGCUCUGAACAACUGCGUGCUUGGAAACACGACCAUUUAUGCAGAUCUAGCCAACGAAUCUGAUGUCCAGGGUUGGCUGCAGCAACUUGGCAUGCCCGCCCAACAACAGCAGCAGCAGCAACAACAACAAAAUCAACAGCAGCAACAGCAGCAGCAAGUUGCCGCCUCCAGUGGAUGGGGCAUCCGGGGAUCUACUCCCGGCUCUAAUAACGGAAGCGGUAACGGGGGUGGUGUAGGAAGCAACGCCUCCAAGGGAAGUGCCAACUCUGGGGACAAUUGGGGAACUGGUGGUGGAGGCCCGAGUUCGAGCCCAUGGUCGACGGGUGCCAAUUCCGUCUGGUCUACACCGGCAUUGGAUCGUGAUUUGAGAACCACGCCGUCUGCGCUGAACGCAUCGCUCAACUCGUUCCUGCCCGGCGAUCUCCUGGGCAACGAGUCCAUGUAAAACAGCGAGGGCUACCACUCAACACGACUCAAAAAAGAAAGAAAAAAAGAAUCGACAGAAAUUACGUGUCAAUAUGAGAAUAGAUGAGAGAGGAGAAAAAUACCAAGAUUUGAAGCCGAUCAGCAGAAUUAACUUCGUAUCCUUUGGGCAGCUUUUCUUUUUCCCCUCCACUCUCCCCAUCUCCGCCUUCCUCUUUAUUUUGGUUUGGACUUGAAGAAAAAAAUGAGAUUUUUUUUCCUAAUAAUAAUUAUUAUUUUUCCCCCACGUCCUCUUUCCUUUUUGCUUGUGUUGUAAUAGCCAUUUUCCUUUUUUUUUUUUUUUUUGUCUAUUCAUAAGAAUAAAUGACAUUGAUGAGACCUUUGAUUGAGGUGCCCCAGUGCCUUUUUAUGUUGAUUGAUGGCCUCGAAGAAAACAAAAGAGAAAUUGCGUCGGUGGCGGAAGGGCCAGACCUUUUCAUUUUUUUUUUUAAUUUUUAUUCGAUCGCUUGCCAACGACACUUGCGUGUGUUCCGCAUGUUGUUCGACGCGCACACAAAACUUUUCUGCAUAAGCUUCGUAGAAAAAGACGAAACGCGGCCAACAGGACGAACUGGCUUUCCCAGAAAAAGAGAAAAACGAACAUACCAAACUAAAAUGAGUCAAAACAUCUUUACUCCCGACCUUCUCAACCCACAUCACGAGCCGAGCCAGUCGGAAGAAAAAAAAAGAAAAUUUAAUUGGUCGGCUCUCCACAACGUUGGAUCUCGAUGCAAAUAGAAUGAUUUUGAUGCAGGCAAUGACUCGUCACUUUAUCCAUUUGAUUCGAAAAGAAAAAAGAAAAAGUCUGAUUUAAUGUUAAAAAAGAAUUCCAGUUAUUAUUUUGAUACGGAAAACGAAACAACAAAUACUGCCAUGCAAAAACAUCAUUUUCAAACACAAUUUAUAAUUAUAAUUUAAUUUUUUUUUUCUGGAGGCAGCUUCGUUUGUCCUACAUAGUCCCCGCAUUAUCACUCUACCUGUCUGAUCAUCAGCUGAUUUUUUUUUUUUUUUUUCAAAUUUCUUUUGGGAUUUGCGUUCGUACCUCCGAUAAUGAGGUUGUGAUUUGAAAAUGUAAACAAUUCAAAGGUGAACUUUACAGAUAGGCAAUCGUUUUUGUUUAGAUAGGGAGGGAGUUAUGAGGCGUGAUUGGCCAAGAAAGAAAGAAGAUACAAAACGGUUUUAAUUCUCGCGAUCUGGCCGUCGCUCACCGUCAAUGAUCAGCCCUUCCUGCAUGCCAAAAAUUUUUGUGACUGAUGAAAUUUAUUGAAUCCGCCUCCCUCCUCGAUUUUUUUUUUCUUCAAAUCCGCAAGAGAUCUGGCCUAUUAUUUUAAUUUUUUCCUUUCGUUUGGUCAUGUUGAAUGUUUAUACAAAACAGGAAAGAAAUUAGCGAUGGUAGAAAAAUGCCUAGUCACGAUGACUAAAAACAUUGGCCAAAAUAAUCAUUAUUAAAUCAAUAGGAAAAAAACAAACAAACAAAACAAACAUUUCGGAAAUUCAGUGGGAAAUUUGUUCGCUCCCGUUUCCUCUGCCGGAAACCACUCAAUUUUUGACAUAUCCUCCUAAAACCAAAUUAUCGUCCACACGAGCCAAUCAUUCAGACAAAUUGAGAAACAAACUUGAGAAGGGUGGACACGAUCGGUCGCUGAAGAAUCAAAGGAGCGGACUAUUAAAAUACUUUCCAUAGACCAGGCUACAAAUGUUCUGAAGUGAUUUUGCAUUGGUGAUGAUCAAUCCACAUCAGAUCUAUGCGUUCCUUCCGGCUUCCUGUCGUUUGUAUCAGAAAUCGAAGAAAGAAAAUACCAAAGGUUGUUUGUUUUUUUUGUAAAACUUGAAAACGUUUUGUCGAACUGGGAUCGAGAAAAGAGAUGAUCUUCUUUUCGAGCCUUUUCUGCCUUUCUCGUAGAGAACGACUUUUUUUAUUUGAUUCACCUUUCUUUCGUUUUCAUGGAUGGAUUUUCAUGAAAAAUCCCGAAACAUUUGAAAAGGAAACAAAACACUUUGAAAUCCGUGGAAUCUUAUUUCUCUUUCUGCUCUCGAUCGCACACGAGUACCACAUUCUCUGUUGCCCUCUUCCGAAUCGGAUUACCGGUAGUGAUUUCAUUUUAAAAGGAAAAAUAAGAAGAAAGGAUUUAAUAAAUUUUUGUUUUGCUUUUAAAAGAAUAGCAACACACACGAAGAUAAAAAGAAAAUAUUCCCGAUCGAUCGGACAUCCCGUACUUGAUGCUAUACGCCACUCUGUCACGUGUCUUUGUCUGUCUUGUCCAUGUACUGGUACUCUGUAGCCUCUACUUUUUUUUUUCUCUCUAAGAAUAAGAAUAGCUCUUUUUUUUUUUUAAUAUUAUCUGCUCAGAAAAAGAGAAAAGGGAAACGUUGUGCGUUUCAAUCAGGUACGCUCUGGCAAAAGAAGGAAAAUGUUCCAAAUACUUGUUUCCCCAAAACACACUUUGGGGUUGCUCUUUCUUAGUAUUUUUAAAUGUCAUAGAUAGCCUCGUGCGUCAUCAAACAGUUGUGGAAUGUUGUCAGAGGAAAAGGCAUUUCCUUUAGUUCUAUUUUCGUUAAUUUUUCGCACGCACGCUGCUAAGCCAAUAAGAUUUUUGUCAACCACCCAAAAUUUUGUUGAUGAAUUUCCAUAUGUCAAAGUGCUCCCCCCCCCCUCUACACGAUCCUUGGUGAUUCAUUGAACAGGUUUGUUUAUUUGUUCUUUAUUUUUCAAAUAUUCUUUUAGUUAUGUUAUAAGUUGACAGGUGUCUGUCGCCAUUGAUACGGCAUUCGAUUCUUUGGAAAGAAAAAAAGAAAUUAGUUCUUCUAGGAGAUGAUGAUGUAUCGUUAGAACGAUUCCUCCACCACAUCUCCCACCUCCUCCCCUCCCAAACUGGAAUCGGAACAAUCCCGCCCACGAAGCCACGAUUUCAUUUGACGAUUCUAAAAACUAUUCGUGUCGUUCUUUUGUGCCGCUUUAUAUAACUCUCAUUUAUCCGAUGAUUCAAAGAGGACAAUAUUUGCUGCAAUUCUAAUCGCCUGUAUUUUCGUGUUGUCAGUUUGUACUUUUUUUUUCCGUUUGAAAUUUUCAAUGAAUUCAUGAGUCUAUAAUAUCGACAUGCCGCGGGUGUAGGGUCAUAAAAAGCUUCAGACAUUUUUCUAGACUCAUGUCGUCCCGAGUGUUCAAUAUCGUGUGUUUUCCGCGCCUAUCCCCUUUUCGUUUCUAAGUUUCGAUUAUUAUCGCCCCCCUUAUCCUCUCUCACCUUUUUUUUCUUUUUUAAUUAUUCUUUUUUUAGGGGGGGGGGGGCGUUGAACGUUGCGGUUCAUGCAACAACAACAAACUGGUUUACUAGACUGGAAAAUUGUGUUUGUGUUAGUCCUCGACCCUCGCUCAGUUUUUGUUCAGUGGGCAAGUGUCUUAAAAGGAAAAAGGGUGAGAAAAGCAUAAUAACCUAGUGUUCCGUCAGUCUGGUCGUCUUCGCAGUUUAUGUUCCCCCGACGUUAUUAUUAAUAUUAUUAUUUGGAUUGAUAACACCUAUCUUUUUGAAACUAUUAUCAUUAUUUACACUUGCUUUGCGUGGCCAUUUGUUUGGGGAAGGAACAAGCGAAAACAAACAAAACAACAGCAUUUUGAUGCGAGUCGUGAUGUGUUGUGCUCCAUUUGAGAGGAAAAAAAACUGAAGAUAUGAAGCCAGACAUCUUGACUUAAAUGCUGUAAGGUCAAAAGACAAGUUGACUAUAUUAUAUCAUAUAGAAAAUCAAUGGCCAUUUGUGCGUGUCUCUUUCGUAUCGUUAAAAAAUUGAAAAAGAAGAAAACACAGAGCCCUCUCUUGUCUCUCAAUUCCUUUCAAGGAACUCGAUAAUUUUUUUUUUUUUCAUGGCUACUAAAUUGCUGAACGAUAUAUAAUUGAAAUGUUUACAUAUUCGUGUGUAUUACGCCCGCCUCCCCCCUCCCCCCUUUAAACCACCCUCAAGCCCAUGUCCCACUCGUGAUGAUGUCGAUGUUUAUUGCUCUCCAAUUUGUUUUCUUCACUUCUCUUUGUUUCUCCCUUCAACAAGAGAUGCAAUCGAAAAAAAAAGGCUACCGGAGUCGGUUUCAGGUUUUAAUCAAAUAGUGUUGAUGUUAUUGUCAAAAAAAAAAGUAAAGUAAAAAAUGUCGAUAGGUUUUCCUUCCCUCUUUUCCAAAAAAAAAAACAAAAAAACAAAACAAAAAUCAACAAAAAAACAAAAGGCAUGCACUGUGUCUGUUAGAAACUACACGAGCGUGCCCCACUCCGGUAAAAGGAAAAGACAAACUAAUUAUUACUUUACCGUGUUGUCGAUGUGAUUUGCAUGGUAAUCCAAAAUUGAAAAAAAAAAAAAGAGGACGUGAGUAUGUAAAAAAAAAAAAAAAAGAAACAAAACAAGAUAGUUCAACCUGAAUCCUGGUCGCCUUACACGCCACACACUCCUUGUUUUCUAAACUAUAUAUCUUUUAUCAGUGGUCAAAAGUUUUGUCAUUGAAUAGAAAGCGUCCAGUUUGAUACAUAGGCUGCAAAAAAAAAAAAAAAAUGGAUUAAAACACAAAAAAAGAAUUGCGGAAAAAUGGAGGGAAGAAAACGAAGGCAAGAAUAAAGGAAAAAAAAAUUACCCCCCAAAAAAAAUUUCAAUAAAAUAAUAUGUCGAUCCCAUGUUUCUGUUUCUCUCUGCAAUGAUGCGUGUUUUGAUUUUAGAAUAUACUAGACAUGUGGUUAGUGGAA
rnacentral:misc_RNA from 1 species